ensembl:lincRNA
ACGAGCACGCCCAGCGCGCUCCGCCGCCGGAGUCACCGGGUGAAGAUGAGCCCUUCUAGGCUUUGCGCGCAGCCCGCCGCGCCGCCAAGCUCUUGGAUAAAGACUGCUGGCAGAUCAGAAAAAGGAUGCGCAGGAGAGACCCAGAGGUGGGGCAAAGAAGACUGGAGAAAAGAAAAUUAAACCUCUUUUAAGAAGGUACUGCCAUGUAGAAAACUGCCUUCUGCUUGUCGGUUUCUCUUCUGCUUGCGCAGGCACCAGUCCUGUUAGAUGGAUAUCGAAGCCGGGUUGUUGUUUUUUUUUUCCUUCUACUUCAAGUGCCCUCUAGCGAGCAAUAUCUGUGCAGGUUGCUAUGUAAAGGAGGUGGAAUGAAGAAAGAAGAAAGAAAUCCACCAAUUGGGGUCCUCAUUCCUGGAGUGCUCCUCUCCGUUUUCUUUAUGUAUUUUUUUUUCCUUCCUCACAGGGGUCAUUUCCUCAUAAGUGUUUGGCAAAACAAAAAAAGGUGUCGUUGCUUUUGCAUGUGAAACACAUCGUUCAUUUACUAAACUGAAGCGAAUGUUAAUCCUUUCUCAGGGAUUUCUCCCUUGGAGCUCUCUUGAUGAUUUUUCCUGAAGUUUCAUACACCACAGUAAUCAGGCAAAUAAAAGAAAGUAAGUUGCUCCCCAGGAAGAAAUUCUGUUUUGUUCCCAUUUUGACAGCAGAGCAGCUCUAAGGCCUUUUGAUGCAAAUUGAUUAACCUCUCCAUGGGCUUUGAGUUUGUGACUCCAGAAAAGUGCAUAAUACUUCUCUCUUACCUCAGGGGGGUGGUAUGAGGCUUAAUUGAAGCACAUAAAACAAUUUCAGUUCCUCAGACCCAAUUUGAUAUACAGUCGGACUCGCUUUUCAUCUCCUAACAGGGCUUCAAAUUCUCUUCGGUUGUCUACAGUGCAGCUCGAUUGAGACUCUAUGUUUUCAUAAAGAUGUUGUUAAAACAAUCUCUUCUGUAAAUAGUGGACUUGCUUAAGAGAUUUUUCAGGGUUCCGGCCUGUUAAAAGAAAAGAAAAGAAAAGAAAAAUUUAGAUGCUCCAAAAAAAAACAUGACUAUAUAUAAUAAAUAGAGCUGCAUUAAGUAAGAGAAGAAAUCUUACAAAGCAUUCACUGGGCAUAUGUUUUAUGCAAACUAAUAAUAGCAGAAGGUAACUUUACUCACACAAACAUCCCAUUAAGCAGUUACUGUGAGUACAGAAGAACUGUGGAGGCAUUAUUCAAAUGACUGGGUUUCCGGAUACCUGUUACUCAAGUCUCCUUUACUGCUAUUACUAUGCAGCAUCGCGUUUGAGCUUACCCUCUGACUGAGCUAUCUUCAAGGGCAAACGUAGAGUGAGGCAAGCUGCCACGUAAUCUACUCCAUUAGAUUCUUUACUUACUGCAUCUCUUUAAUUAUUAAAACGCUGUGGAUGGUAGCCGUUGUUUGCAUCGUUCACUGCACUACAAAACGGAGGCUCAGAAAAUGUAACUGAUCCCUUCCCCGGAAUAUACAGUUAAUGACACAACAAUUUAAAUCAAAAUUGUUUGACAGGAGGUCUGAAGAAAUGACUCAGUUUCCAAAUGCACAGAGUUUUUGCAGAGGGCCUGACUUUGGUUCCAAACCCCCACCUUGGGCCUGUAACUCCAGCUCUUGUGAAUCCACCUAGUGUCUGAGGGCACCUGCACUCACACACAAACACUCUUACACAUUCACACAUACAGAAAUGAAAGCAUGCAUAUAAAUAAUAUCGGAUCAUGUCUGAUCCUCUUAAAUAUUAAAAUUAUACUAAUGCAAGACUAUCAAAAACUACUUUUUUUUUCUGUUGCAGUAGAGGAAAGCUAAAUUUUCAUUCUAUCACUAUGCAAUACUUUUAGUCACUUAUAACUCACUUUUAACUCAAGUUUUACUUCACUGAAAGGAUUCACACAUUGAAAUGAAACAGAAGUAAAUGUUUGCAAAUGCAAACAUUAUCACAAUAUUUACCUGUAAGUGGGUUUAUAAUAUAUAUUCUAGGAUUCAUGGAUACCAAGUUAAAUACAAAUUUUCCAAAAACUUUAAAACCAGGCGAUAAAAUAAUACCAUCAUUAAUCAUAAAUACCAUUACGGAAAUUCUCUGGGAAUAAUAAUUUGAAAGGUACUCAAAGUCUUGUUUAAUUGCUCAUUUUUAAAAUUCAAGAAUGCUGCGGUUCUAUUAUUAUGAUUUACAUUUGUAUAGCCCUUUUUUAUAUUUUUUAAGCACACUUGACUUCAUACAUGAUCUUUAAAACAAUUGUGUGAGAUGUGCUGGUCUAUUAUUACACAAGGUUUACAGUAACAGGCUUUUAGAGGCAAUGGAGUCCAUGCAGAACAUCUUCAUUUUAUAGGAAUUGAAUUGGCCAGUUUUUUAAAUGUAUGAACAUAAAUACAUAGUUAUGUAGCUAGGUAGCUCUUGAAAGACACUACUAUCAGAUCACAGAUAUUUAAAGGUUGAUAACGAACUACCUACUUUUACACAUAUGAUUCUGGGGAAAAUGAGCUAGUACACUCAAGAAUAUGUAAGAUAUGGAAAUAAAAGCCUAGAUAAAAAACACAGUACAGUUUAGAACCUCAAUCUGCAAUCUAGAAAAGGCAAGCUCUCAGUUUCUAAUAAGAGCAAGGAUAUUUGCUUCUUUCACCAAGUCUCUAUAGAGUCUAAAAAUACGAUCUGUUGUUUUGUAAUGCUUGAAAUGUUUCAGAACCUUGGAAUAUGACUCUCACAUACAAUACACGAGGUUCCUUCAAAACAGAUCUUAUUGAAUGAAAAUUUUUGGAUUCAGUAUUGUUAAUAAAUCAGUUAUCAGGAAGAUAUUUGCAUCACGUAUCAGUAAUAUAGAAAUAUAAAACAAAAACCAAAGCUAAAAUAGGAAACAACAAAAUAAACUAAACUCAAAUAUGCCUUGAAUCUUUUUCUGGUAACCAUUAAUUGAUAAUUCAAAUAGUAAACCUACAAAAAAUUCUUUUCUACUGGAGAUAGUUGUUAAAAUGGAUAUUUCUAUUCUUCAGAAGCAGAAAAACAGCCAACAUACAUGACUUGCCCAAAACACAGAGUGUGGUGAAUCUUUUUUCUUUUUCUUCCAUGUUUGCAUGAAGUUAUUCAUGAUUUCUUACUCCAAAUUAUGUCAUUGUUUUUGGUCUAGAGAAAAAUGGUUCAUUGUGUUGUUCUACUUCCUCCAAAUUACAUACAGAAUAUAAAAUGAAAAUAAAUGCCACCAGC